rnacentral:rRNA from 1 species
AUUGAACGCUGGCGGCAGGCUUAACACAUGCAAGUCGAACGAGUGGCGGACGGGUGAGUAAUGCUUGGGAAUCUAGCUUAUGGAGGGGGAUAACUACGGGAAACUGUAGCUAAUACCGCGUACCAUAGGAUGAGCCCAAGUGGGAUUAGGUAGUUGGUGGGGUAAAGGCUCACCAAGCCGACGAUCUCUAGCUGGUCUGAGAGGCUGAUCAGCCACACUGGGACUGAGACACGGCCCAGACUCCUACGGGAGGCAGCAGUGGGGAAUAUUGGACAAUGGGCGCAAGCUGAUGCAGCCAUGCCGCGUGGAUGAAGAAGGUCUUCGGGUUGUAAAGUUCUUUCGGUAGCGAGGCGUUAACUACCGAAGAAGCACCGGCUAACUCCGUGCCAGCAGCCGCGGUAAUAC